UUUUGCCUACGGGGCGCAGCAGUGGGGGAUAUUGCACAAUGGAGGAAACCCUGAUGCAGCGACGCCGCGUGGGUGAAGAAGCGCCUCGGCGCGUAAAGCCCUGUCAGCAGGGAAGAAAAUGACGGUACCUGAAGAAAAAGCAUCGGCUAACUCCGUGCCAGCAGCCGCGGUAAUACGGAGGAUGCGAGCGUUAUCCGGAUUUAUUGGGUUUAAAGGGUGCGUAGGCGGAAUGCCAAGUCAGCGGUAAAAUCGCGGGGCUCAACCUCGCUCCGCCGUUGAAACUGGCGUUCUUGAGUGGGCGAGAA
rnacentral:rRNA from 1 species